AUUGAACGCUGGCGGCAUGCCUUACACAUGCAAGUCGAACGGCAGCACGGGAGCAAUCCUGGUGGCGAGUGGCGAACGGGUGAGUAAUGUAUCGGAACGUGCCCAGUCGUGGGGGAUAACGCAGCGAAAGCUGUGCUAAUACCGCAUACGAUCUAUGGAUGAAAGCGGGGGAUCGCAAGACCUCGCGCGAUUGGAGCGGCUGAUAUCAGAUUAGCUAGUUGGUGGGGUAAAAGCUUACCAAGGCGACGAUCUGUAGCUGGUCUGAGAGGACGACCAGCCACACUGGAACUGAGACACGGUCCAGACUCCUACGGGAGGCAGCAGGGGGGAAUUUUGGACAAUGGGCGCAAGCCUGAUCCAGCAAUGCCGCGUGCAGGAUGAAGGCCUUCGGGUUGUAAACUGCUUUUGUACGGAGCGAAAAGGCUCUCUCUAAUACAGGGGGCUUAUGACGGUACCGUAAGAAUAAGCACCGGCUAACUACGUGCCAGCCGCCGCGGUAA
rnacentral:rRNA from 1 species